UUUCACAUCUCCGGUUCCUUUCCUACCCUAAUCCCAAUCUCAUCUCUAGUGUUGCGAGGAGAACGAUAUGCAUGACUCCAUUCCCAAUCCUCUCCACUAGUGUUGUCGAAAAAAUGAGAUUCACAAUUGUUUCAGCGCCAUAGGUAUUUUGAGCGCUGGAUGCAACAUAUGGCGAGUUAGAGUUUCAAACAUUUGUUGGGAUGUGGUCGAGGUUCAUUUGCUAGAUUGAGUUAUGAGACAAUUUGGGUGGUUGCAACAAGUUACUACAAUUCCAUUUCCAUUUGAUUCAACACACUUUUGUCAUGAUCAUCGGAGAAGCCCAAAUAUAAAUUCGGAGUUGGAACAUGCACAAUGGUUAUAUUUUUGGAACUAACGCCUCCAAUAUAGUUGUGAUGCACUGGUCAAUCAUGAACCACUUCUGUAUGGUAACCCCUACAUUAUUUGGUUCAGGCUCAUUACUCGUCUUGCUAUUGGUAAUCCUAAUUCGCGUCCUCAAUGUCAACAAGGUUAUGUGCCUAAUUCAAUGGCAUACGAUAUAAGCGGUGAAAUGACUUAUUUCCAUUUAAUGUUUUUUUUGAAUUUUGUUUUUCAUAUAUUUGUAGAUGAGGAAGCCUAGUUAUCACUUUCUAAUUUCCUUUACCUUCAGUUCACUCUUGUGGAAGAGUGAGAAAAAAUCAAAAGACCCCUGAUUAAAAA